UGAACGCUGGCUACAGGCUUAACACAUGCAAGUCGAGGGGAAACGACGGGGAAGCUUGCUUCCCCGGGCGUCGACCGGCGCACGGGUGAGUAACGCGUAUCCAACCUGCCUCUGACUGAGGGAUAACCCGUCGAAAGUCGGCCUAAUACCUCAUGGCAUCGUCUGCGGGCAUCCAACGACGAUUAAAGAUUUCAUCGGUCAGGGAUGGGGAUGCGUCUGAUUAGCUUGUUGGCGGGGUAACGGCCCACCAAGGCUACGAUCAGUAGGGGUUCUGAGAGGAAGGUCCCCCACAUUGGAACUGAGACACGGUCCAAACGCCUACGGGAGGCAGCAGUGAGGAAUAGUGGUCAAUGGGCGGGAGCCUGAACCAGCCAAGUAGCGUGCAGGAUGACGGCCCUAUGGGUUGUAAACUGCUUUUAUGCGGGGAUAAAGUGAGGGACGUGUCCUUCAUUGCAGGUACCGCAUGAAUAAGAACCGGCUAAUUCCGUG
rnacentral:rRNA from 1 species